AAAAAAAAAAAAAAAAAAAGUUUAAUGUGAUUCAAUUAAAAUUUUUCCGGAAGUUGAGUGACCAAGUGACAAAACAAAUUGGUGUUAUAGGGUGGGUGACCCACUGAUGGCGCUUUUACUAUUGAGUCCACGCGCUUUUGGUGGUUUCUUACAGUACAAUUAGUAACAUCUAUGGGACCCUAAAAAAAUUCUUAUCUGGAUUCUGAUUGGUUGACGAUUCAGGUUUACCCUAAGCUCUGCAAUCUUACUGGCUGUCUGUCUUAAUUUUGGGAUUCCCUAUGGGGUCCAACAAAAAGGUCAGUUUCUCUCUCUCUUUCUUAUAUUCACCAAUUUUAUUUUAAGAUUUUAAUUAGGCAAAAUUGUGAAUACAAACCAUUCUCCUCCACUUGAUAUACCGGUGGACGUUAUUCAUACAAAAUUGGCCUCAAAUUUCAUUCACAGUAGGUAUAAUUUACAAUAAUAGGCCAAUUUUCAUAACAUAUUGGAAACUAUAUAGAAGAAGUUCUCCCAAAGGUCCUUUUAAACGACUGGGAACUAAGAUUAUUCGAGUUGCGAGCAUCUUCAAACAUAAUAGACGUAUAACAUAUUUAAUUAGUUAUUUGCAAUCUAAAUUAAUUCAUACUUACACAUGCUUGACUUAAUCCUUGAAAUAGAGGCAUGUCAAAUCACUAACGUCGACAGUCGAUGACACUCAAAUGUAACCAGUAGGCAUGGCAAUUCACCCUAAUGCAACAAUAUGAAUCGUGUCGUGUGCAUUUUGUAACCUUUUCGAACGUGAUAUACUACCUAAAAU
rnacentral:lncRNA from 1 species